CUCCAAAAUCAUAAGAUGGGGAAAAAAGGCAGGGGGAGAAGAAGCAGUCAAACAGAGGGCGGCGGAGGCGGCGGUGGCUGGUGCCUUGUGGCGAUCUGCGCGAAGAAAUCGAAGAACUCUGCCUCUCCUCCCGCGGAAUUCAGCGUCGAUUCCCCCAAAUUGACCCGCGGGGGCCGCGGUCAGCCGCAUCCUGAGAUGGUUUUCUGAUUGCUGAGUGGAGUGAUGAAUUUGAGACCGGUCGUUCUCAUCUUCCUCCUGCUUGUGCUCAUAAUCACAUCACAGUUUGAAUGGAAGCAGCAGAUUGGUGAGGCCGAGGCAAACCCAACAGCUACACGGCGAAGGCAACAAGCACUACUAAGGGAAGAUGCUGUUAAGGAGAAAAUAAUAUUGGCACAGGAGAAAAACAUUCAACAGCUGAAUGUGCUUAUCCAGAGCCUUCAGCUGCAGCUACUACAUUGUCGUCUCAGUAAUAGUACUACUCACACAACCUCAAAUCAGUCAACGAACAAUAGUGCAGUGGAGGGACAUGAGAUGAUUGAUGAUUAACCUCUCAGUUGUAAUGGCAUAAUAUAGGUAGAUAACUUCAUGGUAUACAGCCAACUCAAGAACAGGUAUCUUUCAGGCAAAGAAUACCUUUAUCGUCAUCAAGAAGUAGGACGGUAGAGAAUCGUGUUGUUUGAUGUAUUGAUGCUCAAGCAUUAUCAUCACAGUAUCAUCCUUUUUCUCUGCACAAUCUUGUAGAGGAUUUUAGUGCGUACCAUUUUUUCUCCUGCUUGUGUUGUAUCAUAAUGAUUGAAGUUACUUUCCGGGUUAACUUUCAAAUAUGAUUGUGCCAAUGUUCCAUCUGA